rnacentral:rRNA from 1 species
GAUCAAGCUAUUAAGGGCACAUGAUGGAUGCCUUGGCACAGGAGAGCGAUGAAGGACGUGGCCAGCUGCGAUAAGCCACGGGGAGGUGCAAGCAACCGUCGAUCCGUGGAUCUCCGAAUGGGGCAACCCGGCGCCGGCAAUGCGGCGUCAUCCUCCCGUCUAGACGGGAGGAGGCGAACCCGGGGAACUGAAACAUCUAAGUACCCGGAGGAACAGAAAGAGGAAUUCGAUUCCCCCAGUAGCGGCGAGCGAAAAGGGAACAGCCUAAACCCGUCUGCAUGUAGAAGGCCGCAGCCGUUGUGCAGCGGGGGUAGUGGGAAGUUGACGGGGUGCGCUGCGGAGCACCCGGAGAGUGACAAAGCCUGCGGAUAGUCGAAUGGUCCUGGAAAGGCCAGCCACAGAGGGUGAUAGCCCCGUAGACGAAAUCUGUAGGCCUCUCUGGUCAACUUUCCCGAGUACCGCGGGGCACGUGUAACCCUGUGGGAAUCUGUGCCGACCACGGCAUAAGGCUAAAUAUGCUCCUGUGACCGAUAGUGGAAUAGUACCGUGAGGGAAAGGUGAAAAGCACCCCGGGAGGGGAGUGAAAUAGCACCUGAAAUCAUGUGCCUACAACCAGUCGGAGCCGGAUGGUUCCCUGAGAACCAUCGGGUGACGGCGUGCCUUUUGCAUAAUGAGCCAGCGAGUUGUGGUAGGCAGCGCAGGUUAAGCCCUUCAGGGGCGGAGCCGUAGCGAAAGCGAGUCUGAACAGGGCGCUUCAGUUGCCUGCUGCAGACGCGAAGCCGGGUGAUCUACCCAUGGCCAGGAUGAAGCCCCGGUAAAACGGGGUGGAGGUCCGAACCC